GAGUUUCAAGCCAGCUUUUUCACGCUCCUCUUUAACCCUCAUCAAGAGGUUCUAUGGUUCUUCUUCACUUUCUGCAAUUAAAGUGGUGUCAUCUUAUUGUUUUUGUCUUAUUUUAUUUUAGUAAGUUAUAAUCUUGUGAAAGAAAGCUGUCUUUUCUUUGUUUUCCCAAUAGUGCCUAGCAUAAUGCUUUUACAUAGAUAGUGUGUUGAUGCCAAUUUCCAUAGAAUCAAGUUGGUCUGGAGUUAUUCCAGUUAAGGGAUAAAAUUGGAGAGCGCUUGUGUUCAAAAGGGCCUUCUUCUCGCUUUUCAUCCUUUAUUUCUGUCUUCUCCCCAUCUUUUAGCUUCCAUUUUUACUUCUUUAGUACUGAGAAUGUGCCAGGCUCACUUCAAAGAGCUGACUUCAAAGCCCCCCUUGGCUGAGAACUGCUCGCCACUGAAGCCUAUAGGGGUUGGCGUCAAUGGAAGGUCUUGUGUUGGUUGCAUUUGAGAGUUUUUCGAGACUUCUAUUUUUAUAAUCCUUUUAAAGGGAUGGUAUAGAAACAUCUGCGUCUUAAAAAAAAAAGGCACAAGCCAGUGUAAUUCUAAAAAAAGUUAAGAUGUCUUUUGAAAAAAAAAAAAGCUAUUUUAUAGUUGGUAAAAAAAACCAAAUCUUUUUCUUUAAAAAAUUACUUUUUCUGGUCUGUCCUACUUUUAUAAGGCUGAGGACGGAAAUAGUCUUAUGUGCAACGUUUCCUAAGAUGGCCAAGCAGGGCUGCAGGUUGCAGACCAGAAAGCAGGGCUCAGGCCUGGUAAGACCUCAGACUCAGUUGUCCUUGAAGCUGUGGUGUGGGCUGGACGAGGAGAGGCAGUUAGAGACCAGGGAUCUCCUGCCAUCGACCCUCUGAUGCACUUGUAUGUUUACUUUUUGAGGCUUGGAGUGACUGACUCUUCCAGGAAUGAGAAAUGGAAUCCUCCCAGUUUCUAUGGUCGUCCCCCAACAUAUUUCCUGAAGGCCUACUGUGUGUCCACACCAUGCUGAGCCUCCCGCAGCAGCCCUAGUGAGUGUGUGCCUGGGCCAAGAAGCUCUUUGUGACCUGACGUUUGCCCCCUGCUCCACCCUUGCCUUUGCAGGACUCUCUGCAGCCUAGAAUGCUGCUUUCCCUGCUCUCAAACCCUUUACGUCUUUUGGCGUGCUCACCCUUCGAGACCUGGAUUAAGGGGUUUGCCUUUUAUAGAGACUUCCUCCAUUUUCUCCUGAGCUGGUUGCUCUCCCCACCCCCCCUUAAAACAGUUUGGCCGCACCGGGUCUUAGUUGCGUUGUGUGGUCUUUAGUCCCCGAUCAGGGAUUGAACACAGGCCCCCUGCCUUGGGAGCACAGAGUCUUAACCACGGACCGCCGGGGAGUCCCACAGUUGGUGGCUUUGUUCUCCACUGUAGCACUGUGAACACCAAUUAGAAUGUCCAUUUUAUUCUUUGGUAAUUAUCUGUUUGCACUUUUAUCCCUGCUAAUUGUAAGCCAUUUGGUUUCCCUGGUAGCUCAAUUGGUAAAGAAUCCGCCUUAAGUGCAGGAGACCCUGGUUUGAUUCCUGGGUUGGGAAGAUCCCCUGGAGA
ensembl:lncRNA